AUUGAACGCUGGCGGCAUGCCUAACACAUGCAAGUCGAGCGGAGCGUCGGACGGGCGAGUAAUGCCUAGGAAUCUGCCUGGUAGUGUGGGAUAACGUCCGGAAACGGGCGCCAAUACCGCAUACUAUCAGAUUAGCCUAGGUCGGAUUCGCUAGUUGGGGGGGUAAAGGCCUACCAAGGCGACGAGACGUAACUGGUCUGAGAGGAUAAUCAGUAACACGGGACCUGAGAACGGGUCCAGCCUCCUACGGAAGGAGGCAGUGGGGAACAUUGGAAAAUGGGCGAAAGCCUACUCCAGCAAUGCCGCGUGGGUGAAGAAGGUCUUCGGAUUGUAAAGCACUUUAAGUUGGGAGGCGUUACCAAAAGAAUAAGCACCGGCUAACUUCGUGCCAGCCGCCGCGGUAAUUC
rnacentral:rRNA from 1 species